rnacentral:rRNA from 1 species
UAAGGAAUAUUGGGCAAUGGACGAAAGUCUGACGCAGCAACGCCGCGUGGGGGAUGAAGGCUCUCGGGUUGUAAACCCCUUUCAGCAGGGACGAAUUUGACGGUACCUGCAGAAGAAGCCCCGGCCAACUACGUGCCAGCAGCCGCGGUAACACGUAGGGGGCGAGCGUUGUCCGGAUUUAUUGGGCGUAAAGAGCUCGUAGGCGGCUCAGUAAGUCGGGUGUGAAACCUCCAGGCUCAACCUGGAGACGCCACCCGAUACUGCUGUGGCUGGAGUCCGGUAGGGGAGCGUGGAAUUCCUGGUGUAGCGGUGAAAUGCGCAGAGAUCUGGAGGAAUACCGGUGGCGAAGGCGGCCCCCUGGACGAAGACUGACGCUCAGGUGCGAAAGCGUGGGGAGCAAACA